AGAACGAACGCUGGCGGCAUGCCUAAUACAUGCAAGUCGAACGAACACUUCGGUGUUAGUGGCGCACGGGUGCGUAACGCGUGGGAAUCUGCCCUUGGGUUCGGAAUAACAGUUGGAAACGACUGCUAAUACCGGAUGAUAUCGAAAGAUCAAAGAUUUAUCGCCCAGGGAUGAGCCCGCGUAGGAUUAGCUAGUUGGUGAGGUAGAGGCUCACCAAGGCGACGAUCCUUAGCUGGUCUGAGAGGAUGAUCAGCCACACUGGGACUGAGACACGGCCCAGACUCCUACGGGAGGCAGCAGUAGGGAAUAUUGGACAAUGGGCGCAAGCCUGAUCCAGCAAUGCCGCGUGAGUGAUGAAGGCCUUAGGGUGUAAAGCUCUUUUACCCGAGAUGAUAAUGACAGUAUCGGAGAAUAAGCCCGCUAACUCGUGCCAGCAGCGC
rnacentral:rRNA from 1 species